rnacentral:rRNA from 1 species
CAAUGGGGGGAACCCUGAUCCAGCCAUGCCGCGUGUGUGAAGAAGGCCUUUUGGUUGUAAAGCACUUUAAGCGAGGAGGAGGCUACUGGUAUUAAUACUACCGGAUAGUGGACGUUACUCGCAGAAUAAGCACCGGCUAACUCUGUGCCAGCAGCCGCGGUAAUACAGAGGGUGCGAGCGUUAAUCGGAUUUACUGGGCGUAAAGCGUGCGUAGGCGGCUUUUUAAGUCGGAUGUGAAAUCCCUGAGCUUAACUUAGGAAUUGCAUUCGAUACUGGGAGGCUAGAGUAUGGGAGAGGAUGGUAGAAUUCCAGGUGUAGCGGUGAAAUGCGUAGAGAUCUGGAGGAAUACCGAUGGCGAAGGCAGCCAUCUGGCCUAAUACUGACGCUGAGGUACGAAAGCAUGGGGAGCAAACAGGAUUAGAUACCCUGGUAGUCCAUGCCGUAAACGAUGUCUACUAGCCGUUGGGGCCUUUGAGGCUUUAGUGGCGCAGCUAACGCGAUAAGUAGACCGCCUGGGGAG